CUACGUGCCAGCAGCCGCGGUAAUACGGAAGGUCCGGGCGUUAUCCGGAUUUAUUGGGUUUAAAGGGAGCGUAGGCCGGAGAUUAAGUGUGUUGUGAAAUGUAGACGCUCAACGUCUGACUUGCAGCGCAUACUGGUUUCCUUGAGUACGCACAACGUUGGCGGAAUUCGUCGUGUAGCGGUGAAAUGCUUAGAUAUGACGAAGAACUCCGAUUGCGAAGGCAGCUGACGGGAGCGCAACUGACGCUGAAGCUCGAAGGUGCGGGUAUCGAACAGGAUUAGAUACCCUGGUAGUCCGCACAGUAAACGAUGGAUGCCCGCUGUUGGUACCUGGUAUCAGCGGCUAAGCGAAAGCAUUAAGCAUCCCACCUGGGGAGUACGCCGGCAACGGUGAAACUCAAAGGAAUUGACGGGGGCCCGCACAAGCGGAGGAACAUGUGGUUUAAUUCGAUGAUACGCGAGGAACCUUACCCGGGCUUGAA
rnacentral:rRNA from 1 species